rnacentral:snRNA from 1 species
GUGCUUGCUUCGGCAGCACAUAUACUAAAAUUGGAAUGAUACAGAGAAGAUUCGCAUGGCCCCUGCACAAGGAUGACAUGCAAAUUCACGAAGCAUUCCAUAUUUAG